rnacentral:rRNA from 1 species
AACGAACGCUGGCGGCGUGGAUAAGACAUGCAAGUCGAGCGGGACACUUCGGGUAGCAAUAUUCGGAGUGUUCAGCGGCGCAAGGGUGCGUAACACGUGGGUAAUCUGCCGUGAAGCCUGGAAUAACUCGCUGAAAGGCGAGCUAAUACCGGAUGUGAAGUUUGGAAGGCAUUCUUUUGGACUUCAAAGCGUGGGGACCGUAAGGCCUGGCACUUCACGAUGAGCCCGCGGCCUAUCAGCUAGUUGGUGAGGUAACGGCUCACCAAGGCUAAGACGGGUAGCUGGUCUGAGAGGACGACCAGCCACACUGGAACUGAGACACGGUCCAGACACCGUACGGGUGGCAGCAGUCGAGUAAUUUUUCACAAU